rnacentral:misc_RNA from 1 species
UUCUAAAGAAUAUGCAUGGGUCAUCAAAAAGAGUUGAUGUGCAAAAGGGUAUUAAUCAUCAAGUAGAUCGAGACCUUAAUCCGAUCAAGCAUAUAAUGUAGCAAACUAUUGUAUAUAUUCAGCUAUAGAUAUUUUGAACAGGCUUAAGUGUCCUAUUAGACAAGAAUAUAUAUGAGCUUAAUAUUACCUCAUCCAUUUGUCUAAAGAAUAUGUAUGGGUCAUCAAAAAGAGUUGAUAAUUCUCCUGUAACUCUUAAAGUAUAGG